rnacentral:tRNA from 2 species
ACUUCCUUGGCAGAAUAGUGCGUUAAAUUUAGAAUUUAGAAUAUGUAAAUAGAUUAUAGGUAGUA